CCCGCCUGCGUUUUCUCUCUCUCUCUCUCUCUCGAAAGUUCCUUCAUCUGUCUCAUUCCAGUUUAAUCUGAUCUCAAGUCUUAAAGAUCUGUAGAAAUUUCUUGUAGAUCCUGUAAGCGAAGCCGUCUGAUAUGGCUUCAGAGCGCAAAUAAUCAGUAAAAUCAAGAAGAUUUCUUCACUAUCGGUCAAGAGAAGAAGCCCUAGGUUCGGUCAUCCGCUUCGUUCUGGAUCGAUCCUAAUCUAGAAAAUCACAGAAGGUAAAGAAGAAGAAUAUUUUUCUUUAUUCCCUGAUUUACAUGGAUAGUACGAUGGCCGCAUUUGAUUCGUCAAAACUGGAAGAGUUUCUGUCCAAUCCUUUUUACCUACAUCCAGACGAGAGUCCAGCUCUCCAACUUACAUCCACCGUUCUCCCCGGAGUCAAUUUCCACUCCUGGUCAAGGGCAAUGAGAAUGGCCCUAAUAUCAAAGGACAAACUGAAGUUUGUUGACGGAUCCAUACAGAGUCCGUCCAAAGAUGAUCCGAUGUAUGGAUCAUGGAAGCGGUGCAAUGCAAUGGUACUGUGUUGGAUAAUCAGGUCCUUAUCACCAUCGAUUGCCCAAAGUGUGUUGUUGAUAGAUCACGCGAAGGAUCUUUGGAAAGAUCUGCAUGAAAGAUCCACUCUAGGGGAUACAGUCAGAAUUUCUGACCUCCAAGAAGAGCUGUAUUCUCUGAAGCAAGGUACGUCUUCAGUUACCGAAUAUUUACAAAGCUGAAAAUUAUUUGGGGAUGAAGAUGUAUUGUUAUUUCUGUGAUACGAAAAUAUCAGGAACAAGACCAGGUCAUUAGAUUCUUGAAAGGCCUGAAUGAAACAUUUAGCUUAGUGAAGGCACAGAUACUUCUAAUGGAACCCUUACCGAAUAUCAAUGAAGUGUUUGCCUUAGUAAUCCAGCAUGAGAGAAGCAUAAACAUAAGAGUACCUGCACGACAGUAUGAGACAAGCAUACUGUAUACAAACAGAGGAGGUAAUGUACAGACACCUAGGAGUGGAAAGACAUACAACAACUCUACAUACAACUCCUCUAAUAAUAAUACAAGGAAAGUUUCUGGGAUUGGGGACAAUAGCAGAGCAACCUGUACACAUUGUGGAUUAUUGGGGCACACUGUCGAUAGGUGCUAGAAGAAGCAAGGCUAUCCGCCAGGCUAAAAACCCAGAUCAAAGAAUAAUUCAAAUGCUAACCAAGUCAACACUUAUGCAUCUGAUUUACAAAUAGACAGAAGUAGUAAUAGUGGAGAUUCCCGUACAAAAUUUGAAGCCAAUGCAACAUGUCAGAAGCUUGCCUUUUUCAUUCACCAAGGAGCAGUACAAUAAAAUUCUUACUCUGAUUCAGCCUACUUCAUCAGACAUUAAUCCAACAGAAAACAUUAGAAACUUACCAAGAGUCAACAAUCUCACAGAACACUUCCAGUCUUCAACAUAACAAGGAAAUUCAAAGCUCGAAGCUGAUUGGUUCAGCUAAACAGAUACAUGAGCUAUAUCAUCUCCAAGCUUCAAGGGAUAAAAAAAUUUCAACUGUUAGUUCAAUGUUAAACAAGAUUCUGUUGUUCAUUCUGACAAUUGUUAAUAGCCAAACAUUAUGACACUUUCGUUUUGGCCACCCAUUUUUACCAAAGAUUACUAAUGUUGCACAAACUUGAUAGUUAUUAUCCCUUAUUUUUCAACUACAUGUGAUACUUGUCAUUUUGCAAAACAACAAUGUUUGUCUUUUCCAAUAGGUAAUUCAAUACGUCAGAACAACUUUGAUUUAGUACAUCUUAACAUUUGGGACCCAUUUUCUAUUGCACCCCUAUAUGGACAUCAUUACCCCUUAACCAUUUUUGAUGACAGGAGUCGGUAUACCUGGUUAUUUCCUAUGAAAUCAAAAGUUGAGAAAAGGGGACUCUUCAUCAAAAUUCUUGACUCUACACACCGCAAGAAAACAAUGUGGUGGAUAGGAAACAUCAACACAUAAUGACUGUAGUAAGGUCUCUGUAGUUUCAAGCCAAUCUGCCACUUAAGUUUUGGGCAGACUGUAUUAUAAGCAAUAUAUCUCAUUAACCGGAUACCUUCACCUGUCAUCAACAACUAAACCUCUUAUGAAAUCUUAUCCAAUCCUACACCAAAACUCAAUCAUCUAAAAGUAUUUGGCAUUUUGUGCUAUGCAUCCACAAAUAAUGUCAAUUGGUCCAAAUUUGAUCCUCAGGCUGUCAAAUGUAUUUCUUGGCUACCCUUCUCACAUCAUAGCCUUCAGACUGUAUGACCUCACAUCUCAAAAAAUAUUUGUUUCCUGAGAUGUGUUUUUUGUAUUACAUGUAUUCUCAUUUGUUUCUCAUACCCAAAACAAGUCAGAGAAUUUAGUUUUAUCUCAUAUUGAUGAUUGUUUAAUAAGUACUAAUGGUGGUAUUUUCAUAUCUUCACGUUCUCAAGAUGACGUACAUACUCUCAUAAAUGUAAAAGGAACUUAUAUAGGAAAGAAGAUACAUGCAUAUGAUAGAUAAUACGUAAAUAUACUUACAUGCACGUUAAAUUCAUGCACCUAUAUGCACCUUAAUCAUGUACCUACAUAUAUCUUAGAAUUUAUGUACCUAUUUAAACAAACAUGCACUUUAACAUAAAUGUGUACCAAGAAUAAAAGUUUUAGUACAUUAACAAUUGGUUUGAAUAUGGUGAUAGAAAUAGUCGUUUUUUUCAUGUCAAGGCAACAUGAUGGAGAAUAAAUAAGUUCUCACGUAUUAAAACACUAUUAGGGGUUUGGAUCUCGGAGCAAGACCAAAUGGAGAAUUUUCUUUUAUAUACAUUUCUUAAAUGUUUUUCAAGCAGAGUAAGAUCUGGAAAUGACACUUCUGGAGGGUGUGGAAAGACUAGUCACCCAGGAGAUGA